rnacentral:misc_RNA from 1 species
AACGCACCUUGCGCCCCUUGGUAUUCCGAGGGGCAUGCCUGUUUGAGUGUCUUGAAAUCAUCAAGCCGUCGGGUUCGUUCCCGCGUCUUGGACUUGGGGGCUCUUGCUGCCGUGAGGCGGCUCCCCUUAAAUCCAUCGGUCGGCUCCUGCUUGAGCGCGUCCUGGCGUUGUACACACCUCGCUGGAUAAGCUGCCCUUGUGGACCGGCCCCGACCUGCUGCGGAGUGGCGGUCACAUACUUUGAAAUCUGACCUCAAAUCAGGUAGGACUACCCGCUGAACUUAA